GCCAGCAUGAUGUAAUGGUUUGAGUAUUGGACUAUAAUGCUAGAGACCAGGGUUCAAUUCCCAGCUUGGGCA